UCAACAAUGAACAAUUUGCGUACUCUUUCAAAUGUUAUCAUUACAAGAUUUUUCAAGAAUCGGUAAAAAAUAAAAAAAUAAAAAUGAUAGCGUUAAACUUAAGUGCCAUACCCCCUUUUUUCUUCCUUAUUUUACACCCCCCCCCCCCCCCCCUCGCUCUUCUCACUCACACACACACUCACAAACACUCUCCAGGACAUCCUAGGCUCAGUUUCUCCAAGAUUUUAAGCUACACAUUCAGAAUGGGCGGCAACGGUGGUGGCAAAGGAGGAGGAAGUGGUGGCGGUGGAUGUGGCAAAGGAGGUUGUGGCACUGGCAAUGGUGCAGCCAAAAGUGGUGGGGGUGGCUCUAUGGGUGGUGGCAGCGGUGGCAAGAUGGUUGCUCCAGGGAGUGGAGGAGGAUCACACAUUUCAAGGGAUUCUUUUCAAAGUAAUCCCCAGAUUUAUUUUGCUGGACUGCAUGCUGGUCAAAAGGGCAAAAAAUAGUGAUGUUCUUGUGAGGAGCUACAUGGGAAAUUAUCGUAUUCUGCUUUAUGGAUAUUAUAUAUAAUAUGUGAUUGAAUAAAUUUAAAGUUUAUAAUGGGCUUGCUAUCCAUAUGUAUCAUGUGCUUGGUAGACAUAUGAAUCAUAUGCUUGACUAGAUAGCCUUCUUAGACUGUGUUAUGAAAGUAGUAAUGUGUCUUGUGUAAUAUAUGGUUUUUGUUAAUAAAAUAGUUUUAAUGUCC